AUGGACAGUCAUCUGUCAUGCCAGGAGUGGAUGAUGCAAAGGUGGCACAAACUCAAACGCAGGAAGAUGUGCGUGACUUGUACAAAGAAGAGAAUGAUACUACUGCUCCUAGUCCCCAGUACACCCAAGCCCAGAACAACCAAAUCGAAGCGUCCAACAAAUGCAAUUCCUUGUAGUCCAUCUAAGUUCAAGAAAAAUAAUGUGCCAAAAGACUUAAGGAGGUUUGUUGACCAUGUCAUACAGGAAGACUGUGCGGGGCAAACUAGUAAGACAGCCAACGAUGAUGAUAUUCUUUGCCAUUAUGGAAGAGGUUGCCAAGUGUGA
rnacentral:rRNA from 1 species